rnacentral:rRNA from 1 species
CAAAAACAUCGCCUCCUGACUAACCAUAAGAGGUCAAGCCUGCCCAGUGACAUUGUUCAACGGCCGCGGUAUCCUAACCGUGCGAAGGUAGCGUAAUCACUUGUUCUUUAAAUGAGGACUAGUAUGAACGGCUUCACGAAGGCUAUACUGUCUCCCUUAUCUAAUCAGUUAAACUAAUCUCCCCGUGAAGAAGCGGGGAUUCACAUAUAAGACGAGAAGACCCUAUGGAGCUUAAAACACCUCUAAACAUUUGACCUCCACACUACUAUUUUCAGAAAUCUUCACAAAGCCCGUCAUUUUGUUUUAAGUUUUAGGUUGGGGUGACCGCGGAGAAUAACCUAACCUCCACGUAGAAAGAACUUUCUUUUCUAAGCAAAAAGCUACAUCUUUAUGCAUCAACAUAUUGACCUAAUUGACCCAAUUAUUUGAUCAACGAACCAAGUUACCCUAGGGAUAACAGCGCAAUCCGCUUUAAGAGCUCCUAUCGACAAGCGGGCUUACGACCUCGAUGUUGGAUCAGGGAAUCCCAGUGGUGCAGCAGCUACUAAUGGUUCG